GACGAACGCUGGCGGCGUGCUUAACACAUGCAAGUCGAACGGAAAGGCCCUGCUUUUGUGGGGUGCUCGAGUGGCGAACGGGUGAGUAACACGUGAGUAACCUGCCCUUGACUUUGGGAUAACUUCAAGAAACUGGGGCUAAUACCGGAUAGGAGCUCCUGCUGCAUGGUGGGGGUUGGAAAGUUUCGGCGGUUGGGGAUGGACUCGCGGCUUAUCAGCUUGUUGGUGGGGUAGUGGCUUACCAAGGCUUUGACGGGUAGCCGGCCUGAGAGGGUGACCGGCCAAAUUGGGACUGAGAUACGGCCCAGACUCCUACGGGAGGCAGCAGUGGGGAAUAUUGCACAAUGGGCGGAAGCCUGAUGCAGCAACGCCGCGUGCGGGAUGACGGCCUUCGGGUUGUAAACCGCUUUCGCCUGUGACGAAGCGUGAGUGACGGUAAUGGGUAAAGAAGCACCGGCUAACUACGUG
rnacentral:rRNA from 1 species